GAUCUUGGCUCAGGAUGAACGCUGGCGGCGUGCUUAACACAUGCAAGUCGAUCGGUGAACACGGAGCUUGCUCUGUGGGAUCAGUGGCGAACGGGUGAGUAACACGUGAGCAACCUGCCCCUGACUUUGGGAUAAGCCCUGGAAACGGCGUCUAAUACUGGAUACGAACAAGAAUCGCAUGGUUACUUGUUGGAAAGAUUUUUCGGUUGGGGAUGGGCUCGCGGCCUAUCAGCUUGUUGGUGAGGUAAUGGCUCACCAAGGCGUCGACGGGUAGCCGGCCUGAGAGGGUGACCGGCCACACUGGGACUGAGACACGGCCCAGACUCCUACGGGAGGCAGCAGUGGGGAAUAUUGCACAAUGGGCGAAAGCCUGAUGCAGCAACGCCGCGUGAGGGAUGACGGCCUUCGGGUUGUAAACCUCUUUUAGCAGGGAAGAAGCGAAAGUGACGGUACCGCAGAAAAAAGCGCCGGAUAA
rnacentral:rRNA from 1 species